GAAAUGCGAUACGCAAUGCGAAUUGCAGAACGCGAGUCAUCAGAUCUUUGAACGCAAGUGGCGCCGGUUAGCAGCCGGCAUGUGGUGCUCAGUGUGUUCGGAAAUCACACAGCUGAAUGUGGUUGAAGAGAGAGGGGGGGAGGGAAGGAUUUAUUUUUUUCAUCUCCCCACUCUUUUCUCCCAUUAAACGAGCGGAGAAGCGUAGCCUUAAAAGCGCGCUGAGAUUUUAGCAAUAAGGUCUCAGCACCUCUUCUCUUUCUCCGGAAGUAGUCACUAGCAUCCUAGUGUCCUACGGACGAGAGAUGAAGUAUGGUGAGUCGUUUCCAGGCAUUUUGCGCCCCGAAAUAAAAAAAAUUACACCUCUACACCUGAGCUCCGCAAGAUCACCCGCUGAACUUAA
rnacentral:misc_RNA from 1 species